AGGUAGGGUGGCCGAGUAGGCGGCGAGUUGUAGCCUCGUGCACGGGCGCCCCCCAACCA
rnacentral:tRNA from 1 species